CCCAGGCGCGAAAACUUUACAAUGCUGGCAACUGCGAUAAGGGGACCUCGAGUGCCAUGAUACUUGCCUGGCUGUCCCACUGCCUAAAAAGCAUUGCAUAGCAAGGGCCGGGCAAGACCGGUGCCAGCCGCCGCGGUAACACCGGCGGCUCGAGUGGUAACCGCUAUUAUUGGGUCUAAAGGGUCUGUAGCCGGCUGACUAAGUCUCUUGGGAAAUCUGGCAGCUCAACUGUCAGGCUUUCAGGAGAUACUGAUCGGCUCGAGACCGGGAGAGGUGAGAGGUACUUCAGGGGUAGGGGUGAAAUCUUGUAAUCCUUGAAGGACCACCAGUGGCGAAGGCGUCUCACCAGAACGGAUCUGACGGCAAGGGACGAAAGCUAGGGGCACGAACCGGAUUAGAUACCCGGGUAGUCCUAGCCGUAAACGAUACUCGCUAGGUGUCGGCCACGGUGCGACCGUGGUCGGUGCCGUAGGGAAACCGUGAAGCGAGCCACCUGGGAAGUACGGCCGCAAGGCUGAAACUUAAAGGAAUUGGCGGGGGAGCAC
rnacentral:rRNA from 1 species